UACGGAGGGCGCGAGCGUUAUUCGGAAUCAUUGGGCGUAAAGCGCGUGUAGGCGGCUGGGCAAGUCGGAUGUGAAAGCCCGGGGCUCAACCCCGGAAUUGCAUUCGAAACUGCCUAGCUAGAGUCUCGGAGAGGAGGGCGGAAUUCCCGGUGUAGAGGUGAAAUUCGUAGAUAUCGGGAGGAACACCAGUGGCGAAGGCGGCCCUCUGGACGAUGACUGACGCUGAGACGCGAAAGCGUGGGGAGCAAACAGG
rnacentral:rRNA from 1 species